CCUGUAUUGUUCUCAUCUCUCUCAUCUCUAUCAGUCUUCAACCCUAGUAUAGCCUUAGGAAUUCCACCAUUUUCACAAGCGAUUGACCUCCCAGACACCACCAAAAUUCAACCCCAUACUCCCCAUAAUUCUUCAAGUCCUAUGCUGGUGCAAAUCUCUACAAAACCCCCCAUCGAAUCCAGUUAAUUUUAGAUCUAAAAAGAGAGAAGAAGAAAAGAGAAUUUUCCCAGAUUUUCAAGAAUGAUUUGGACUGAAACUAGUAUUGUCCGUUCGUUCUCGAGGAGAGCAUGCGGAUAAUACUACUUUUGGUCUAAAUCAGAGACGUCGGAGGUCCAUACAGGCUUGUUGGCCUUUUAGGUACACACUGUAAAAGCUCUAUUGAUUGUGAAUGUGGAUUGGAAGAAAUGAAAUGAAAAGAAGGAGGAUUAAAGCAUAGUGUUAACCUAUUUAUGUUUCAGUUAUAUUUCUCCUUAAUGUUAUGUUUCAGCAAAUUUAGUUCUUGUCACUGUAUAUUAGCAUGAGAUUUCUAGGACUGUUGCAACAAAGGUUUGAUUUGGUUGUUUGCGUAUUCUGGACUUUGUUUAGUUUUGCUGAGGAUUAAUGUUGCUUCAGCUCUGUUUUCCUUUCGAAUCUGUUAGAGGUUGAACCUUAGAUUGUCAUUUGUGUUGAUUUAACCAAGUUGAGCUUUGUCUGCA